AUUGAACGCUGGCGGCAAGCCUAACACAUGCAAGUCGAGCGGAGCGGCGGACGGGUGAGUAAUGCCUAGGAAUCUGCCUGGUAGUGGUGGAUAACGUCCGGAAACGGGCGCUAAUACCGCAUACUACCAGAUGAGCCUAGGUCGGGUUAGCUAGUUGGUGGGGAAAGGGCCUACAAGGGCGACGAUCCGUAACUGGUCUGAGAGGAGGAUCAGUCACACGGGAACUGAGACACGGUCAAGACUCCUACGGGGGGCAGCGGUGGGGAAUAUUGGACAAUGGGCGAAAGCCUGAUCCAGCCAUGCCGGGUGUGUGAAGAAGGUCUUCGGAUUGUAAAGCACUUUAAGUUGGGAGGCGUUACCAACAGAAUAAGCACCGGCUAACUUCGUGCCAGCCGCGCGGUAAUAC
rnacentral:rRNA from 1 species